rnacentral:rRNA from 1 species
GUCUCAGGCCGUAUCAGCCUGAAGGCGCCCGAUCUCGUCUGAUCUCGGAACCCGCUAAGCAGGGUCGGGCCUGGUUAGGAUCUUGGAUGGGAGACCACCUGGGAAUCCCGGGUGCUCGAGGCU